UACGUAGGCAGCAAGCGUUGUUCGGAGUUACUGGGCGUAAAGGGUGCGUAGGCGGUCCUAUAAGUAUGGUGUGAAAUCUCCCGGCUUAACUGGGAGGGUGCGCUAUAGACUGUGGGACUAGAGUGUGGGAGAGGAAAGUGGAAUUCCUGGUGUAGCGGUGAAAUGCGUAGAUAUCAGGAGGAACACCGGUGGUGUAAACGGCUUUCUGGACCAUAACGGACGCUGAGGCACGAAAAGCGUGGGUAGCAAACAGG
rnacentral:rRNA from 1 species